GGGAGAUGCAUUCACUUCCUUUUGAGUUCAUAAACAGUGAAUAAAUUCUAGAUAAUAAAGCAGCUUGUGAAACAAUGAUUUCCCAUAUCCCUGAGGGAAGAGACUGUGUAAUUCAUCUUUGCAUCUCCCAUAACAUCUAACACAAAGCACAGUACAUUGGAG